rnacentral:rRNA from 1 species
UAAGGUGGUUAUAGCGACGGGGCUCACCUCUUCCCAUUCCGAACAGAGAAGUUAAGCCCGCCAGCGCCGAUGGUACUACGUAAGUGGGAGAGUAGGUCGCCGCCUUCU